AGGCUUGAGCCACUGAGUUUGGCUCUGGACUGUCUCUUUAAAAAUCCUUCUGGUUGUAACUGAAGCAGUAACUGAAGCAGCCGCUGAAGCUGUUACCAGGGGCAACCUGGCAAGCCAUAGUGCGUUAAAUUAAAUUAAACAGGCUUGUGACUGCCCCCUCCCCUGCUGGAGAAGGGAGGGGGUAUUCCCCCUCUAUCCUGGAGAAUAAAGUUGCUGUGAAACCUCUUAUGGCUGCAAGGAAUUCAGUUACAGAGUUUACGACUCCCAGAGGCAAGAUGUUUGGAGGCAGCCUGGGAGGAGGCUCACAGGACUUCUGCCAGAAGAGGAGUAUUUACAGUGAACCUGCCUGGGAGGAUCAGAAAUUGUGAUCCUCAGGAAAGCCUGAAGAUCAAAGCUCCUGUGGGCUGGUCAGGAAACAGAGACUACAGAAAAAGCCACCGGCCCAGCCCCAUAGCCCAGGGCAGAAGUGACGGGAUUCAAGUUCAGAUCUGCCUCCCUCCAAUGCGCCUGUUGUUUCCACCUCAUCAUGCUGACUCUGUGAAGGCUGACACUGCAGAAAUAAAAGUCACAAGGUGGCAGGCCUGUGGAUAUGUCCUUCCUGCACAACUGGAAUGUCCUCUGUGAUGACACAGAGCAGCCUUUCUGCUCCUGCAUACCGAGACCCGCCCCACCUGGCCCCAGCCUGCCACCUGUGGGCCAU
rnacentral:lncRNA from 1 species